AUUCAACCUAGGUGCGUCUGGGAAAGGCCUUUACAAAUGUAGUUAAGGUCCCAGGUGAGCUAACCUUAAGGUAUGGGGAUUACCCAAGUAAGCAGAGCCCUGUCAGGGAGGCCUUCACAAGCACAGACUUUUCUCAGGCUGGGUGCAGAGGUCAGAGAGAGGGUAAGGUGACCGGAGACUGGACGUGAGAGGUUUGCCUGCUGCCAGGUUAUGAGAGGUCUGCAGGACCAAGAAUGAGGGCGGUCUCCAGAAUUGAGAGCAGCCCUGGCAGACAGGCAGCAAGGACACAGGGAUCUCGGUCCUAGAGUCUCAAGGACGUGAGCUCUGCCUGUAUCGGGGAUGACGGAAGAAGAUUGGGAGCUCCAGGUGGGAGCACAGCCAGCUGACCCUUGAUUUCAGCCUCAUGAGACCCUCAGCAAAGGACCCAGCUACGCUCUCCCGGACUUUUGACCUACAGAAGUACAAGAUCAUAGAUGGGUGUUGUUUUUAAGCCACUAAAUUCGCAGUAAUUUGUUACAACAGCAAUAGAACACUAACACACCUUCAUUAAAGAAAUGAAAGAGAAAGGAGGAAGGAAAGAAGAGGAAUUUAUCAGCCAUCCGGGGCUGCCACUUCUUCCUCCUCAACACAGGCGUGGAUUUCCUCCUCCGGUUCCUAACCUGCAGGCAGCUCCCGUGCCAAUCCACAGGUCCCCUGAAAUCCCAAUCGUCGCCCAGAACCUCUCGCAAGGAAUGACUUUGUUGAAGUUCCCAGAAGGAGCCUUAGGGUAAAUAUCCUUGCUUAUUGCUACAAUCCAUCUGAUGCUAAAGAAACAAAUUUGGAUGUGAUGAAGACAUUUCUUCCCUUGAGAUCAAACCUGAAACAGAAUUAUGACAGCUUGUGAAUCUAGCCAAUACCUUUAGGAAAAAGAAGAAAGAAAAUGAAAGAUGGAGAGAGAGAGAAUGAGAGAGACGAGAGAGACCAGGUCCGCUCAGGGCCAAUUAUGAAGCCCUAUCUGAUAAUGAUGAGAGGUGUCCAAAUCCAGGGACCUAAAGGAGACUCAGAAUUCAGGCACCAUUCUCUGCUGUUUGGGGCAUGCCUUCGCCCUUGGAGAUAAACCAAGAAGUCAAGCUGUUGUCUGGGAAUGCUAUACUCCAGAGCACGCAGACAAGGAUGACAGUGCUCUGAGCCCCAUAACAAUACUUUUGCUUUUGUUUCUUGUGGAUAUGUGAGACCUUUCAUGCAUAUGUGCUUUGUUUGGCACUUGGGAAAUAAAAAUUUCCUUUUCUUACCUUGUGCCCCUGCA
rnacentral:lncRNA from 1 species